CGGGGUGCAGCAGGCGCGAAAACUUUACAAUGCUGGCAACAGCGAUAAGGGGACCUCGAGUGCCAGGAUACAAUCUUGGCUGUCGCGAUGCCUAAAAAGCAUUGCAUAGCAAGGGCCGGGCAAGACCGGUGCCAGCCGCCGCGGUAACACCGGCGGCUCGAGUGGUAACCGCUAUUAUUGGGUCUAAAGGGUCUGUAGCCGGCCGGAUAAGUCUUUUGGGAAAUCCAGCUGCUCAACAGUUGGGCUUUCAGAAGAUACUGUUCGGCUCGAGACCGGGAGAGGUGAGAGGUACUUCAGGGGUAGGGGUGAAAUCUUGUAAUCCUUGAAGGACCACCAGUGGCGAAGGCGUCUCACCAGAACGGAUCUGACGGCAAGGGACGAAAGCUAGGGGCACGAACCGGAUUAGAUACCCGGGUAGUCCUAGCCGUAAACGAUACUCGCUAGGUGUCAGCCACGGUGCGACCGUGGUUGGUGUCGUAGGGAAGCCGUGAAGCGAGCCACCUGGGAAGUACGGCCGCAAGGCGGAAACUUAAAGGAAUUGGCGGGGGAGCACAAGGGCGAUUCGCG
rnacentral:rRNA from 1 species